UACAGCUUUCCUGAGCACAGCAGGUCUUAUCUGAUUUUGUAAGUUAAGCAGUGUCAGGCCUGGUUGGGAUUUGGAUGAGAGACCACCAGGUAAUAACAAGGAUUUCUGGAU
rnacentral:rRNA from 1 species